GACGAACGCUGGCGGCGUGCUUAACACAUGCAAGUCGAACGGAAAGGCCCUGCUUUUGUGUGGUGCUCGAGUGGCGAACGGGUGAGUAACACGUGAGUAACCUGCCCUUGACUUUGGGAUAACUUCAGGAAACUGGGGCUAAUACCGGAUAGGAGCUCCUGCUGCAUGGUGGGGGUUGGAAAGUUUCGGCGGUUGGGGAUGGACUCGCGGCUUAUCAGCUUGUUGGUGGGGUAGUGGCUUACCAAGGCUUUGACGGGUAGCCGGCCUGAGAGGGUGACCGGCCACAGUGGGACUGAGAUACGGCACAGACUCCUACGGGAGGCAGCAGUGGGGAAUAUUGCACAAUGGGCGGAAGCCUGAUGCAGCAACGGCGCGUGCGGGAUGACGGCCUUCGGGUUGUAAACCGCUUUCGCCUGUGACGAAGCGUGAGUGACGGUAAUGGGUAAAGAAGCACCGGCUAACUACGUG
rnacentral:rRNA from 1 species